GUUUCAUAGUCAGAAAAAUAAGAUGUUAUCCAGCAUUAUUUCUUCUGAAAGACAUGAGUGGUUAGUAAGUUUAGAGAAUCUUUUCAGAGAAGUAGAAAUAAUCAGACUUCAUUUUUUAUCUUCAAAUGAUCAGAAAAGUUGUGCUCACUUUCUUUGUGUUCAACAGGAUGAGGAUUCGGAGUACACUUUAGGCACAGCCGUUGAAAUCGGUCAUUUCUUCAGGGAAAGAAUCGUUCCGAGAGCAGUUUUGUAUUACACUGGAGAAGCCCUGGAGGAUGAUGAAAGUACCGGGGAUCCUCAGCCUGCAGAGUGCAAACAACAGUAGUUUGGAUCACUCACUCCUGCCACUGUCAAACCCCAUCAGCUCACCUAGAAUCAGCCCUGUAGUGCGGCGUACAUUCUCUGAUGAGCACACCAUCCAACAAAACAAAACAUGAUGAUGCAAUACAUUGGUAAACUAGUUUUUUAACCUACAAAAUUUGCUCACUUUAAAAUCCAGUUGCUAUACUACAACACUAUUGAUAAAUUGGGCAAUUCCAGAUUACAAUUCCCGGCUUCAGAAUGUAGAUAUAUACAUAAAUAAAUGUAAAACUAUUUUUUAAUUCAUCAUUUAGACAUGUACAGACAUAAUGACUUGAGAUAUGUCAUUGCAUAGCCAAAAAAAAACAAAAAAACUUGUAUUCUGACUUCCUGUGCACAUCUAACCUUUGUCAAGGUUGUUUGUAUUUAACAAAUAGUUUCUCUUCUCAUUUCUGAAGUGUUCCGUGUCAUGGGCAUAACCAUUUUUUAUGCAGUAUAUCUAUUUAUGUACUUUUUGAACAAAACUGUUUAUGUUCAUGCACUUAUUUAUGGAAUGUGCUAGCUAGCUAGCCAGUCCAACUAAUGUAUCUGCGAUAUCUUGCAGGCAUCAAUUAAUUGUGUUUAAUCAUAUCCGGCCUCUUUGCAAUAUAAAUAUCUAACAUUUCCAUCUUCAUUCGACUUUCUCUUUGAAGGUCAUAAUAAAAAAAAACUCUGCACUCCUCUACAUGAGUAUGCUCAGUCGAUGUAGUCUCAUUUUUUAUAUAUAUAUAUAUAUAUAUAUAUAUAAAUGUAUUUCAGUAUACGUUAUAUCCAUAAUGCUGGAAUUGCUCAAUUUAGAUAGUAUUCAAAGAUGAUAGGGCAAGUCCACUGCCAAUGGUCACUGAAUUCUGAGUGAACUGCAGGUGAUUACAUGUCCUUCGAGAUACAACAUCGCAUCCCAAAGUUGACUGAAUUCAUUUAUUUUGUGACUUAAUCUCAUAGAUUACUCAGGGUUUUUUAUGCCAAGAUGACAGUGUGCAAGUAUCCAGCAUUGUGAAACUGUUGAUAUCUAACCUGCUUCAUGUUCUCUUUUGUCUUGUAAAAGAAGGAAGACUUUUGAAAUGUGGCUUUUAGUUAUAACAGAGUUAUUUAUAUACAGUGGGUACGGAAAGUAUUCAGACCCCCUUAAACUGUAUAUUUUCCAUCUUUAUAUUAUUGUUUUGAACUCUGUCUUGGUCUUGUGCUUCUUGGUGGAUCCCUGAGAGAAUAUGUUUUGCUAAUGUAUGUAUUGUACCCAGUUGAUUAUAGCCCCUUUUAGCAUUUAAAAAUGCUUUUGCUGUACUGCCCAAGCACUUACAAAAAAAGUGUCUUUUAUUGCCAAAGAGAGUGAUCUGAUUUCACUUUACCACAACUUUUUCUGUGUCAAGAGUAUUUCAGGUCUGCAUUUCAUUUGAAAUAAUUAGAUAUUAAUGCUAAAGAAUGCAUGUUAUGGUGAAGGAAUAUUUCAAGUUCAAUACGAGUUGAGCUCAAUCAACAGCAUUUGUAAUGAAUUACUACAAAAGAUCAUUCAGAUUCAUUCCUUGUUUUCUUUAAAACUAAAAAGCAUUAUGAUGAAAUACUUGCAGUGGAAGUGAAUGGGGCCCAUUUUUGGAGGAUUUAAAAGCAGAAAUGUGAAACCUGUAAUUCUGUAAGUAUUUACGCUAUUCUGUUAAUGUGAAAGAUUCAUGCUUUUUAGAAUUGGUUGUUUUCCAGUCCACCUUUGUUUCUGGUUAGUGAAUGAAAGGAGGAAGUCAGUUGUGAGGAGAAAAGAAGUAACCCUUAGGCUGAAAGAAGUGAUGAAAAGUUCAAGACCAAAUGCCUAAGUUAGAAGAAUAACUGUUACAAUGUCUGACAAAUUUUGCUGCAUUUUACCAAUAAAUAUAACACCAAUUAUUUUUAAAUGAUUAAAAAUACUUUUUUACAAGUUAUAAAUUAUCCAUCUGUUGUGAUAGUUCUAUGCUAUUAUUGUGAUGGGUGGUAAUGACAUGGGCUUACAAAAAUCACCUUUUGUUUCAAAAAAUUC
rnacentral:lncRNA from 1 species